rnacentral:rRNA from 1 species
GAGUUUGAUCAUGGCUCAGAGCGAACGCUGGCGGCAGGCCUAACACAUGCAAGUCGAGGGGCCGUAGCAAUACGGCACCGGCAGACGGGAGAGUAACACGUGGGAACGUGCCCAUCAGUUCGGAACAACCCAGGGAAACUUGGGCUAAUACCCGGAUACGCCCUUACGGGGGAAAGAUUUAUCGCUGAUGGAGCGGCCCGCGUCUGAUUAGCUUGUUGGUGAGGUAACGGCUCACCAAGGCGACGAUCAGUAGCUGGUCUGAGAGGAUGAUCAGCCUCACUGGGACUGAGACACGGCCCAGACUCCUACGGGAGGCAGCAGUGGGGAAUAUUGGACAAUGGGCGCAAGCCUGAUCCAGCCAUGCCGCGUGGAUGAUGAAGGCCCU